CUUGGUCCCUACCAAGGUAAGGAGAGAGGGAGGCUGCCAAAAUCAAACCAGUAAGUCAUGAAGAACUGUUCUUAAGAGCGAAAGAAAAAGAACCUGGCUGUUAAUGACCAUUCACCUUCCGCUGUCCAGGAGCCUCGGGGCGGGUGUAGUUGAGCGCCUGUUCCAGGAGCGAGGAAAGUAGCUGCCCUUAGGAACCCUGCUAGGAUGCGGAUUUAGAAGAGCUUGUUUACGAGCCAAGGGUGUUUGGUGCUGGGCCUACACGAAAAUGGCAUACAAGUAACUUUUUAAUCACAAGAUCUCUGUGAAUUUUCCAUCGUUAAAAAAAUAAAUAAAUAAAGACAAGGCUUGUUAGUCAUGGAGGAAGAAAAUGUUACAAAUGA